rnacentral:rRNA from 1 species
ACGAUGGUAGCUUGCUAUCAGGCGUCGAGCGGCGGACGGGUGAGUAAUGCUUAGGAAUCUGCCCAGUAGUGGGGGACAACAGUCGGAAACGGCUGCUAAUACCGCAUACGCCCUACGGGGGAAAGCAGGGGAUCUUCGGACCUUGCGCUAUUGGAUGAGCCUAAGUCGGAUUAGCUAGUUGGUGAGGUAAAGGCUCACCAAGGCCACGAUCCGUAGCUGGUUUGAGAGGAUGAUCAGCCACAUCGGGACUGAGACACGGCCCGAACUCCUACGGGAGGCAGCAGUGGGGAAUAUUGGACAAUGGGGGCAACCCUGAUCCAGCCAUGCCGCGUGUGUGAAGAAGGCUUUCGGGUUGUAAAGCACUUUCAGCGAGGAGGAAGGCUCUAAAGCUAAUACCUUUAGGGAUUGACGUUACUCGCAGAAGAAGCACCGGCUAACUCCGUGCCAGCAGCCGCGGUAAUACGGAGGGUGCAAGCGUUAAUCGGAAUUACUGGGCGUAAAGCGCGCGUAGGUGGUUGAGUAAGCGAGAUGUGAAAGCCCCGGGCUUAACCUGGGAACGGCAUUUCGAACUGCUCGGCUAGAGUGUGGUAGAGGGUAGUGGAAUUUCCUGUGUAGCGGUGAAAUGCGUAGAUAUAGGAAGGAACACCAGUGGCGAAGGCGGCUACCUGGACCAACACUGACACUGAGGUGCGAAAGCGUGGGGAGCAAACAGGAUUACAUACCCUGGUAGUCCACGCCGUAAACGAUGUCAACUAGCCGUUGGGGAUCUUGAAUCCUUAGUGGCGCAGCUAA